rnacentral:rRNA from 1 species
CCUACGGGUGGCUGCAGUGAGGAAUAUUGGUCAAUGGGCGCGAGCCUGAACCAGCCAAGUAGCGUGAAGGAUGACUGCCCUACGGGUUGUAAACUUCUUUUUUAAAGGAAUAAAGUGAGGCACGUGUGCCUUUUUGUAUGUACUUUAUGAAUAAGGAUCGGCUAACUCCGUGCCAGCAGCCGCGGUAAUACGGAGGAUCCGAGCGUUAUCCGGAUUUAUUGGGUUUAAAGGGAGCGUAGGUGGGUUGUUAAGUCAGUUGUGAAAGGUUGCGGCUCAACCGUAAAAUUGCAAUUGAUACUGGCAGUCUUGAGUACAGGUGAGGUAGGCGGAAUGCGUGGUGUAGCGGUGAAAUGCUUAGAUAUCACGAAGAACUCCGAUUGCGAAGGCAGCUUACUAACCUGCCACUGACGUUGAUGCUCGAAAGUGUGGGUAUCAAACAGGAUUAGAUACCCGAGUAGUC